AUUGAACGCUGGCGGCAGGCCUAACACAUGCAAGUCGAGCGAGCGGCGGACGGGUGAGUAAUGUAUGGGGACUGCCCGAUCUAGGGGGGUAACUACUGGAAACGGUGGCUAAUACCGCAUACUAUCGGAUAACCCAUAUGGGAUUAGCUAGUGGGUAAGGUAAUGGCUCACAUAGGCGACGAUCGCUAGCUGGUCUUAGAGUAUGAUCAGCCACACUGGGACUGAGACACGGCCCAGACUCCUACGGAGGCAGCAGUGGGGAAUAUUGCACAAUGGGCGCAAGCCUGAUGCAGCCAUGCCGCGUGUAUGAAGAAGGCCCUAGGGUUGUAAAGUACUUUCAGUCGGGAGGCGUUACCGACAGAAGAAGCACCGGCUAACUCCGUGCCAGCAGCCGCGGUAAUUC
rnacentral:rRNA from 1 species